CGAUGCUGGUAACUUCUCAAUGCAAACGUUAUGAUCAGUUAAAUAGGUAAGAAUAUUUAUGCAAGAUUAUUUAUGCAGUCCUCUUAAACAGUUUAUUUCUCUUUCCCCUUGAAACCACCAUGUUUACCUUUGUUUGAGUCCGCCGGCAAGAAAAAAAAUUAUCUAUGGCUAUUACGUCAGAUCUGCAGAUAAUGUUUUGUUAUCUGUAACAAUUAGGGACCGGUCAUUAAUAAUGGGAGGGGGACCAGGGUGUGGGAAAAUGGGGAGGGCGGUCUGAAUUAUUUUAUAGCCUGAAUGGGGGCGACGUGCGACAUAUAAUGGUAUAUUAGACUUGAAUAGCACUGGUUACAUUUAGUUUUAUCGCCGUUUCGGAUCAACAAGAACACUUUGUUAAAAGCAGAAGCAAACGUUACUAUGUUUCCAGCAAAAUUGUAUAACCUGCGAAAAGUUGAUUAAUCCCCAAUCCGGGAUUGAAUCCCCAAUCAUUGAGAAUUUUGUAAAAUAAACUGCAUGGUGUUAUAUAGAAUCUAGUGAUACAAGACAAUAAAAUAAUAAAACGGCUACAAUUUAAGUCCAAGUCUUUUAAUGAAGCAACAGCAUUUUUAAAAUAAAUGUCUUGCCCUUGGGGGCGGUCUCUUGAAAUAUUGGAAAUAUCUCGCCUCUCCCAUUACUAAUAGCGAGGUUCAGAUUUAACUACCACUACCUCUCACACUGACUUAG